GACGAACGCUGGCGGCGUGCCUAAUACAUGCAAGUAGGACGCAGUUGCGAACGAGUGAGUAACGCGUAGGUAACUCCCUAUUAGAGGGAGAUAACUAUUGGAAACGAUAGCUAAUACCGCAUACUAGUAGAUGGACAGGCGUUGUAUUAGCUAGUAGGUAGGUAAAUGGCAUCCCUAGACAACGAUACAUAGCCGACUCGAUGGGGGUAUCGGACACACUGGGACUGAGGAACGUCCCAGUCUCCUACAGUAGGCAGCAGUAGGGAAGCGUCGGUAAUGGGGCGAAACCUGACCGAGCAACGCCGCGUGAGUGAGGAAGGUUUUCGGAUCGUAAAGCUCUGUUGUUAAGGAAGCGGUCCUUAACCAGAAAGGGACGGCUAACUACGGGCCAGCAGCCGCGGUAAUAC
rnacentral:rRNA from 1 species